CAAAAUAGUAAAAAAUAUACGAUACAACCUUAUACAGUUACUCUGUAACUGUAAAAUUAGACAACUGCAUUCUACGAGGUCUCAUGAUUUGAAAACUUUGUAAUUUUGCCUCAUUCUCAAGUUUUUUAAAAAUAGCUUUCUCCACGUGAACCACUGAAUUGUCAUUCAACCAGUCAUCUCCCAUUUUGUUACACAAAUUACUCUUAAUUAGAUUAUAGCAGAAAAUACUCUUUCAAUACUUGCAGUUGCCACACGUAAUAUCAAAGCUAAGGUGAGCAGCCUAUAUACCAAUGGAAAAUAACAGGAACUUCUAGUUUCAACCAACUUCUGAGCUACACAAGAUAUGCUAUUGAGAUUAAAGAAAGUUUCGUCCAUUCUCACAAGCAAAAGAAAUUUAUCAAGUUGAUGUCUAAGUAAUAAAAACUCUUCACUAUUGAAAUCCUAAAGGAUAGAACUAAGUAAGACAUAGUAAUUUAUCCUUAUCAAAGCUGCAAAUGAAUCUCUGGGACUUAAACAUGAAAUGCAAGUAAAGAGCUCAGUAGUUGUUUCUGGAAAAUGAUCAUUCAACUCUUGCAAGAUUGAGUCUAUCGCGUGACAAUAUAAAUCAACAUAAAAGCGAUGAAAAUAAGUCACCUGCUGAGCUACACGCCUAGGUCGAUCUUUCACUACUACGGUAUCCUCCAUAUUGGGCACUAAAAUAUGUCUAUCAACACAAAACUCAAUUACCCUACUCAGCAAAGUAUCCCAACCAUUCUCUCUCAUGUUCUGCAAUGCACACUUACACAAAUGAAAUAACCUCAUAGCAUUCUAAAUAUCUUGAUCAUUUUUCUGUAAGGCUUGCAAAAGGUCGUCUGUAACUGUAAGAAUUUCAAACAUAAAGUGGAAACUGAACACAAACUCAAAAUCUUACGUAAUGUUCAUCUGUCUUACAGUCGAAGAAUUUUUAUCUGAAUGUACGCCAUUUUCUGAUAUAUUUUCAAGAACAUCUAUGAUAGUAUUAAACAUAUUAAUGAAAUGAGUAAUUGUCAGUAGAUGUGAGCCCACAUCUAGUAUUAUCUGGGCGUGCCAAACUCAUUUCUUGAAACUGACGACUUCCACCAGUAAGUUUCCCAAUAUUAAGCUUCUCCAGAAUAUUAGUUUGAUAAUUUAUUUGAAGAGCAUCUACACGCUUACAUGAUGUACCAAGCAAAUUCACAAUAAUAGCAAGUAUGUCGAAAAAAUCACCAAGCAUACAAUUCCUACGUGCCACAGAUACAAUUGCCAAUUGAAGCUGGUGAGCAAAGCAAUGAACAUACAUAGCAUGUGGGUUCUCUCUUAGAAUUAAAGCUUUCAACCCAUUGAACUCACCUGACAUAUUACUUGCUCUAUUAUAGUCUUGACCUCUCAGGCUAGAUAUGCUCAACCCAUGUGUAGAAAACAUUGCAUUAAUGACAUCCUUCAGUGAUUGGGCACAAUUAUCAGUCACAUGGGACAUACCCAAAAAAGCUCUUUCACUUGCCCACUUUUGUCAAUAAACCUCAAAACAACUGUCAUUUGUUCUUUCAUAGAAUUAUCACGAGCCUCAUCAACCAAAAUUGAAAACAAAGAAUCACGUGUCUCAUUGAUAAUAGCCCUUGUCGUCUCUACGUCACAACAAUUAACCAAAUUCUUUUGGAUGGUUGGUGAAGUCAUUUGGUCAUUUUCAGGAGCAUUACUAAAUAAUACUUCUUUAAUUUCCUUACAACGAGCUACAUACCAGUUCAGUAACUCAAUUAGAUUUCCUCCAUUAAGAGACUCUUUCGAUUCAUCAUGACCACAAAAUGACAAUCCUUGCAUCAAGAGGAGUCUGGUACAAUCUAUCACUACAGUCAACCUGGUCUUAUAACUUUGUUGUUAACUACUACUUUGACUAUAAAUAACAUAGAAGAUACUUUGCUUUUGAUUCAUCAAGUUGAUACACUUUGCAAAAGCUUGAUUAUGAGCACUAUCAAAGAAAUCGACAUGAUCUUUUAAUGUCUUUUUCUGCUUCCAAUCUCUAAAGCCGGUCUUAGUAAAUACAUGUCAACCCCCUUGACCGCCUCUAUCGAGGUUGAACAAGUUGCAAUGCAAACAAUACGCCGCAUUCUUUUCUAUCCUAUAUUCCAACCAAUAAAAUUAGGAGAACCAUUCUUUUUGAAAACAUUUAUUAUCAUUCUCCAUCGGUUUUCUUGGAAAAUCACGUCCAUAUGGUUGAUAAGGACCCUUCUCUAAGUAUGACAUCCUAAAAUCAUCUCUGAUGUUAGGAUCAUAUGACUCGAUAGGGGGGGCGUAUCCCUGGAUCAUAUACAAGAUCAUCCACAUUGAAUUGAGCCUAAGACUUCUUUGUGUUAUUGAAUAACUCUUGUGCUCGACUAGAAUUAGUGGCGGGACUAGUCGCACAACUAGAAGUAGAAGAAUUGGGUAUGGACUUUUGUUUUGGUUAAAAAAAUCGUUCCAUAAUCUACAAAAUGCCUCAAUUUAUUUUUCAAUUACAAAACAUAAAUUACUAAUCAUAAAUCACAUUUCGCAAACAUAAUUUCGUAAAUAUAAAUUCCCAAAUCAUUAAUCAUUCCUCAUCAAAACAUAAAUUACUUAUCAUAAAUCACAAUUCGUAAAUAUAAUUUCGUAAACAUAAAUUCUCAUAUCAAUAAUCAUAACUCAUAAAACGUAAAUUACUUAUCAUAAUUCAUAAAUCACAAUUCACAAUUUUUUAAUUCCCAAAUGAAUAAAUCAUAACAUAUUUAACAGUAAGUCACUGACCUUAGGAAGGAAUCCUUUGGCAUUAAUAUUGGCUCCAACCAAAGAAUUUGCUCGCCAAGUGGACAAAGAAUUAUGUGAUUCUGCUCCAAAUUUAGACACUUUAUCAGUGUCUUUGGGGGGAUGCCAAUUUCAUGCCAAAUUGAUACUCUUAAACAUGGUGUUGACCAGUUAGCACAUACAAAUUACAACACAAUAAAAUUAAAUUUGCCAAUUUAAUAGUUAGCACUUAGCACAUACAAACAGGAGUAGGGGCGACCAGCAAAGGAAGAAGUGUCUCGUCACUCUCAUGUGCAGGUACAGACCUCUUUUCUUGUUCAUUACAGUGAUCAAAUUUGGGUAAAACAAGUCAAAAGAGAAAGCGUUAGACCAAAACUAAUACGAACCUCUGUACUUGCUAAUUAAAUACAUAAUACAAAUUUGGGGGAAAAAAUCCAUUUCUAAUUAAAGACAUAAUGUCACAAAUUCAUAAUAGACAUUGAAAACAAUUUGGCGAACUUAUAAUUACACGUGACAGAAUCGGGAUUCACCAAAAAAAAAACCCCCCUUAAAUCCAAAACUUCGAGAGAAAUUUUUCAUUAUUUAAGUACCAUACAAAAUUAACCUAUUAAAUAAACACACAAAGAUAGAUAAUACAAGAAUAUAAAAAUCGACCAUAUGACCAAGGACGAAUCGGCGGUCCUGCACCGGCGUGUCUCGUGUGCAGCCAGUGCAAGGCAGGGGCGAACAAUAGCGAAGGAAGAAUUGAAGAAAUCGGAAAAGGAGAAAUGGUAUCAGUUGAUUUGGG
rnacentral:lncRNA from 1 species